ensembl:snoRNA SNORA74 Small nucleolar RNA SNORA74
CCCAGCUGUGGGCAGCUGCCUGGGCUGCAUUGUACCUAAACAAGUGCUACACUGCUGGGAGAAAAACAGCUAAUAGCUGGUGGGCAUCCUGGGUCUGGUUAAUGCCAAAUCUG